rnacentral:rRNA from 1 species
GACGAACGCUGGCGGCGUGCUUAACACAUGCAAGUCGAACGACGUGGAGAACGGGUGCGUAAUACGUGGGUAACUGCCCUCAUUUUUGGGCUAAGCCUUGGGAAAGGGGUCUAAUACCGGAUAGUGGGGGAUGACUCGAGUCCUAUCAGCUUGUUGGUGGGGUAGGGGCCUACCAAGGCGACGACUGGUACCCGGCCUGAGAGGGCGACCGGCCACAUUGGGCUGAGAGACGGCCCAGAGUCCAACGGGAGGCAGCAGUGGGGAAUAUUGCACAAUGGGGGAAACCCUGAUGCAGCAACGCCGCGUGCGGGAUGACCGCCUUCGGGUUGUAAACCGCGUUCAGCCAUUACCCGGUAGUGGCAGAAGAAGCACCGGCUAACUACGUGCCAGCAGCCGCGGUAAUAC